rnacentral:rRNA from 1 species
UACGUAGGGUGCGAGCGUUGUCCGGAAUUAUUGGGCGUAAAGAGCUUGUAGGCGGUUUGUCGCGUCUGCUGUGAAAAUCCGGGGCUCAACCCCGGACUUGCAGUGGGUACGGGCAGACUAGAGUGUGGUAGGGGAGACUGGAAUUCCUGGUGUAGCGGUGAAAUGCGCAGAUAUCAGGAGGAACACCGAUGGCGAAGGCAGGUCUCUGGGCCACUACUGACGCUUAGAAGCGAAAGCAUGGGGAGCGAACAGG